UACAGAGGUCUCGAGCGUUGUUCGGAUUCAUUGGGCGUAAAGGGUGCGUAGGCGGCGGGGCAAGUCUGAUGUGAAAUCCCGGGGCUCAACCCUGGAACUGCAUUGGAUACUGCCUUGCUAGAGUACUGGAGAGGAAACUGGAAUUUACGGUGUAGCAGUGAAAUGCGUAGAGAUCGUAAGGAAGACCAGUGGCGAAGGCGAGUCCCUGGACGAUACCUGACACUGAGGCACGAAAGCCGGGGGAGCAAACAGG
rnacentral:rRNA from 1 species